rnacentral:rRNA from 1 species
UACAGAGGGCGCAAGCGUUGUUCGGAAUUAUUGGGCGUAAAGCGCGUGUAGGCGGCGUGACAAGUCGGGUGUGAAAGCCCUCAGCUCAACUGAGGAAGUGCGCCCGAAACUGUCGUGCUUGAGUGCCGGAGAGGGUGGCGGAAUUCCCCAAGUAGAGGUGAAAUUCGUAGAUAUGGGGAGGAACACCGGUGGCGAAGGCGGCAUCCUGGACCGGCAUUGACGCUGAGGAGCGAAAGCCAGGGGAGCAAACGGG